AAAUUGAAGAGUUUGAUCAUGGCUCAGAUUGAACGCUGGCGGCAGGCCUAACACAUGCAAGUCGAACGGUAACAGGAAGCAGCUUGCUGCUUUGCUGACGAGUGGCGGACGGGUGAGUAAUGUCUGGGAAACUGCCUGAUGGAGGGGGAUAACUACUGGAAACGGUGGCUAAUACCGCAUAACGUCGCAAGACCAAAGAGGGGGACCUUCGGGCCUCUUGCCAUCAGAUGUGCCCAGAUGGGAUUAGCUUGUUGGUGAGGUAACGGCUCACCAAGGCGACGAUCCCUAGCUGGUCUGAGAGGAUGACCAGCCACACUGGAACUGAGACACGGUCCAGACUCCUACGGGAGGCAGCAGUGGGGAAUAUUGCACAAUGGGCGCAAGCCUGAUGCAGCCAUGCCGCGUGUAUGAAGAAGGCCUUCGGGUUGUAAAGUACUUUCAGCGGGGAGGAAGGUGUUGUGGUUAAUAACCGCAGCAAUUGACGUUACCCGCAGAAGAAGCACCGGCUAACUCCGUGCCAGCAGCCGCGGUAAUACGGAGGGUGCAAGCGUUAAUCGGAAUUACUGGGCGUAAAGCGCACGCAGGCGGUCUGUCAAGUCGGAUGUGAAAUCCCCGGGCUCAACCUGGGAACUGCAUUCGAAACUGGCAGGCUUGAGUCUUGUAGAGGGGGGUAGAAUUCCAGGUGUAGCGGUGAAAUGCGUAGAGAUCUGGAGGAAUACCGGUGGCGAAGGCGGCCCCCUGGACAAAGACUGACGCUCAGGUGCGAAAGCGUGGGGAGCAAACAGGAUUAGAUACCCUGGUAGUCCACGCCGUAAACGAUGUCUACUUGGAGGUUGUGCCCUUGAGGCGUGGCUUCCGGAGCUAACGCGUUAAGUAGACCGCCUGGGGAGUACGGCCGCAAGGUUAAAACUCAAAUGAAUUGACGGGGGCCCGCACAAGCGGUGGAGCAUGUGGUUUAAUUCGAUGCAACGCGAAGAACCUUACCUGGUCUUGACAUCCACAGAACUUUCCAGAGAUGGACUGGUGCCUUCGGGAACCGUGAGACAGGUGCUGCAUGGCUGUCGUCAGCUCGUGUUGUGAAAUGUUGGGUUAAGUCCCGCAACGAGCGCAACCCUUAUCCUUUGUUGCCAGCGAUUAGGUCGGGAACUCAAAGGAGACUGCCAGUGAUAAACUGGAGGAAGGUGGGGAUGACGUCAAGUCAUCAUGGCCCUUACGACCAGGGCUACACACGUGCUACAAUGGCGCAUACAAAGAGAAGCGACCUCGCGAGAGCAAGCGGACCUCAUAAAGUGCGUCGUAGUCCGGAUUGGAGUCUGCAACUCGACUCCAUGAAGUCGGAAUCGCUAGUAAUCGUGGAUCAGAAUGCCACGGUGAAUACGUUCCCGGGCCUUGUACACACCGCCCGUCACACCAUGGGAGUGGGUUGCAAAAGAAGUAGGUAGCUUAACCUUCGGGAGAGCGCUUACCACUUUGUGAUUCAUGACUGGGGUGAAGUCGUAACAAGGUAACCGUAGGGGAACCUGCGGUUGGAUCACCUCCUUACCUUAAAGAAGC
rnacentral:rRNA from 1 species